rnacentral:misc_RNA from 1 species
CCUCCUUAACGAUAAUUUCGAAUUUCAAACGCCCACACGAGUAACCAAAUAUUUAAAAGAACAUACUGAUAUGUAAAAUUUUUGGUAUGUAAUUUUCUAGUAUAUGCAUUUAUGCAUAUAUAAGAUCACUGCAAUUUAAUUAGAAAAGUAAUUAAUAUAUUUUAUUAAGUACUCUCAAAAAAGCGAAAAAUAACCUUUUUUAAGGUUAUAUGAUCAAGUAAAGGAAGAGCACAAGGCGGAUGCCUUGGCAGCAGAAGGCGAUGAAGACGUAGUAACUUGCGAUAAGCCUCGGGGAGCUGGUAAACAAGCUUCGAUCCGAGGAUUUCCGAAUGGGGA